rnacentral:rRNA from 1 species
CAGCAGCCGCGGGAAUACGUAGGUGGCAAGCGUUGUCCGGAAUUAUUGGGCGUAAAGAGCUCGCAGGCGGUUUCUUAAGUCUGAUGUGAAAGCCCCCGGCUCAACCGGGGAGGGUCAUUGGAAACUGGGAAACUUGAGUGCAGAAGAGGAGAGUGGAAUUCCACGUGUAGCGGUGAAAUGCGUAGAGAUGUGGAGGAACACCAGUGGCGAAGGCGACUCUCUGGUCUGUAACUGACGCUGAGGAGCGAAAGCGUGGGGAGCGAACAGGAUUAGAUACCCCUGUAGUCCCAGUCUCUUAUAC